GUAGUCCACGCUGUAUAUGAUGUCGAUUUGGAGGUUGUGCCCUUGAGGCGUGGCUUCCGGAGCUAACGCGUUAAAUCGACCGCAUGGGGAGUACGGCCGCAAGGUUAAAACUCAAAUGAUUUGACGGGGCCCCGCACAAGCGGUGGAGCAUGUGGUUUAAUUUGAUGCAACGCGAAGAACCUUACCUACUCUUGACAUCCAGAGAACUUUCCAGAGAUGGAUUGGUGCCUUCGGGAACUCUGAGACAGGUGCUGCAUGGCUGUCGUCAGCUCGUGUUGUGAAAUGUUGGGUUAAGUCCCGCAACGAGUGCAACCCUUAUCCUUUGUUGCCAGCGGUUCGGCCGGGAACUCAAAGGAGACUGCCAGUGAUAAACUGGAGGAAGGUGGGGAUGACGUCAAGUCAUCAUGGCCCUUAGGAGUAGGGCUACACACGUGCUACAAUGGCGUAUACAAAGAGAAGCGACCUCGCGAGAGCAAGCGGACCUCAUAAAGUACGUCGUAGUCCGGAUUGGAGUCUGCAACUCGACUCCAUGAAGUCGGAAUCGGUAGUAAUCGUAGAUCAGAAUGAUACGGUGAAUACGUUCCCGGGCCUUGUCCACCCCGCCCGUCACACCAUGGGAGUGGGUUGCAAAAGAAGUAGGUAGCUUAACCUUCGGGAGGGCGCUUACCACUUUGUGAUUCAUGACUGGGGUGAAGUGGUACCAAGGUAGCCGUAAAGGGC
rnacentral:rRNA from 1 species